GAUGGACGCUGGCGGCGUGCCUAAUACAUGCAAGUCGAGCGAACAGACGAGGAGCUUGCUCCUCUGACGUUAGCGGCGGACGUGUGAGUAACACGUGUAUAACCUACCUAUAAGACUGGGAUAACUUCGGGAAACCGGAUCUAAUACCGUAUAAUCUCUUGAACCGCAUGGUUCAAUAGUGAAAGACGGUUUUGCUGUCACUUAUAGAUGGAUCCGCGCCGCAUUAGCUAGUUGGUAAGGUAACGGCUUACCAAGGCAACGAUGCGUAGCCGACCUGAGAGGGUGAUAGGCCACACUGGAACUGGGACGCGGUCAAGACUCCUACGGGAGGCAGCAGAAGGGAAUCUUACGCAAUGGGCGAAAGCCUGACGGAGCAACGCCGCGUGAGUGAUGAAGGUCUUCGGAUCGUAAAACUCUGUUAUUAGGGAAGAACAAAUGUGUAAGUAACUAUGCACGUAUUGACGGUACCUAAUCAGAAAGCAACGGCUAACUACGUG
rnacentral:rRNA from 1 species